UGGCUCAGUUGGUAGAGCAUGGUGUUCGCAAUGCCAGCAUGGUGUGUGCAACGCCAGGGUUGUGGGUUCGAUUCCCAC
rnacentral:tRNA from 1 species